rnacentral:rRNA from 1 species
CCUACGGGUGGCAGCAGUGAGGAAUAUUGGUCAAUGGACGAGAGUCUGAACCAGCCAAGUAGCGUGAAGGAUGACUGCCCUAUGGGUUGUAAACUUCUUUUAUAUGGGAAUAAAACGUUCCACGUGUGGGAUUUUGUAUGUACCAUAUGAAUAAGGAUCGGCUAACUCCGUGCCAGCAGCCGCGGUAAUACGGAGGAUCCGAGCGUUGUCCGGAUUUAUUGGGUUUAAAGGGAGCGUAGGUGGAUUGUUAAGUCAGUUGUGAAAGUUUGCGGCUCAACCGUAAAAUUGCAGUUGAAACUGGCAGUCUUGAGUACAGUAGAGGUGGGCGGAAUUCGUGGUGUAGCGGUGAAAUGCUUAGAUAUCACGAAGAACUCCGAUUGCGAAGGCAGUUCACUGGACUGCAACGGACACUGAGGCUCGAAAGUGUGGGUAUCAAACAGGAUUAGAUACCCCAGUAGUC